rnacentral:lncRNA from 1 species
CGUUUAUAUGUCUUUCUUUGGAAAAGGCCCUUUAAAAAUAGAUAAAGAUAAUUUUGUUAGGCCUCAAGAAUUAUAUUGGUUUUGGUUUGUAAUAAUUAGGCUUUUUGAUUCCUGCAUAUGAUUCAUUUUUAUGUCACAGAAGUAUGUAAUUUUAAAAAUCAAAUCAAUAUUUCAAUCAUGUCCUUAAUUACUAUACUUUUUAAAGUUUUCAAAUUAGAACAUAUAUAAUUAUUAAAAAUCAACUGGAAAGUUUAGAAUUAUAACUUCUAAAGUAAUAAAAUAUUAAAUCUCCCAUCAAUCCUAUUUCUUGCCAACUAAUUCCCCACAGGUAUCAUUGUACAGUGUGUAUCUGUCCUAUUUCUCCAUUUUUAAUAAUAUAUACACACAAUCAAAAUGUUUUACCAAGAUAUACAUCACGCAGGCUGAACUCCUACUUGUUUUGAUAGCUCAGCCAGUCUUCCUUGGUUUACCCUACCCAGGGACAAACAUGACCCUACACCUGUACUCUCUUCCACCUACCACUCUUGGGCCCACUCUUUACCCCUGAUCGCACUCACUAUAUCUUACACCAAUUUCUCCUUCUCAAGAAAUAAAUCUUCUUACCUAUCUACAUAGGUAAAUUAAAAAAUCUUCUUACCUAUCUACAUAUCUUGUAAGUAUUUUAAUUUUCUCAACACUUUUUACUCAUACUUAUGGUUCUUUUCCUUUAAAAAUAUUAAGGAAACUCUGCUUUAACUACCCUCCUCCUUGACCAGAGUGCUACAUCAUCUGCAGAAAUAUUUGAGUUUAUAUACUAAAAACUGAAGAACUGUCUAAGUCAACAAAAUAACAACAUAGUGACUGGGUCGGGGAGGGAGAGGCAACAAGAACUCUCAGGAACAAAUGAGCAUAAUUGCAAACAUACACAUUUUGAAAAGUUGCAUAAUUAAAAUCUUGUAUCGAAUAUCCUAAUUUCCCAGAUUAUUUUAAGUAAAGCAAUUUGGGGCAUUUGAAAAUACAGAGGAAGCAAAAUAAAAAAGCUCUUACGGUGAUGAUUCCAGAACAAUGCUAUUAGCUUGUGUUGAUGACGGAGAUCUCUGAUUUACAAACACUUCGCUUGGGGAAGUAUGAACCAUAUGGUCUACCAAAUGACCAACUGAAGAUGGUCGUAACCGGGUUCCUUCCUGCGUGAAUGUAGAAUUUCGACUAAAUAAAGAGGGAGAAAAACUGAAUAAAAAUAUGCUUCAAUUCAAAAUUUCCAAGUUUCUUAAUAUAUGGUUACAUCAGAAAGGGGGUAUGUGUUUUUAAGUCAAGCCAUGUUGACUAAGCAAUCUCUGAAAAAGACAGUGUGAUAUAAACAGAGGGAACAGAGAAUGGGAAGUCAGUGAUCUGAGUUACAAUCAACAAUCUGCCAAGGAUUCUACCCAUAAAGUUACCUACUAUCUCUAAGUGCCUUCAUGUUUCUAGGUGUUAGUCACUAUGAUUUUGUCUUACUCAGCAUUUAUAAAAUAAAGGGAUUAGAAUAAAUCAUUUAGAAAUAUAUUCUAGUCUGAAUUAUUUUUUAAUUGUUAUAAAUGUUUUUAUUUAUGGGACUUUCUUUGAAGCCUUAGAGUAGAUACUGAAUACUAUAUUGCCAUCCUCUUGACAGUCACACAAAGUAGUGUUAUUACAAUUUUUAAUUACAAUAUUUCAGUAUUUAUGUAUGUGUCAGACAUUUCUCUAAGCAUUUCAUUUAAUCCUCAUAACAGUACUAUAAGAAAGACAUUAUUAUAAAUAUAAUUUUGUAGAUGAGAAAAAUGAGACAGAGAUUAACUUGCCCAAGUUCAAGCAUACAGUGAUUCCAGGGCCCAUGCUCUUAACCACCACCUUGUACUAUCUCUUCAGAAUUUUAAAAAAUCUUUUUAGAUUAUACCUGAAAUUGUUUCAUUAACCAGAAAACUUAAACAGAGCUACUGUUAAUUAGUUACUUGAGUACUUUGGCUUAACUUGCUAUUAUUUUCUAUAACUUGCUAUUAUUGUUUAGUGUUGCUGGUACAAAUGGAGAAAUGGCUGUUUGUGCAAAAGG